UACGUAGGGGGCAAGCGUUGUCCGGAUUUAUUGGGCGUAAAGCGCGUGUAGGCGGCCAGGUAGGUCCGCUGUGAAAACCCGAGGCUCAACCUCGGGACGUCGGCGGAAACCAUCUGGCUAGAGUCCGGAAGAGGAUAGUGGAAUUCCCGGUGUAGCGGUGAAAUGCGCAGAUAUCGGGAAGAACACCCGUGGCGAAGGCGGCUCUCUGGGACGGUACUGACGCUGAGACGCGAAAGCGUGGGGAGCGAACAGG
rnacentral:rRNA from 1 species